rnacentral:rRNA from 1 species
GCUUGAUUGCAAGACAUACAGGUCGAGCAAGGAUGAAAAUCGGACUUAGUGAUCCGGUGGUUCUGCGUGGAAGGGCCAUCGCUCAACGGAUAAAAGCUACCCUGGGGAUAACAGGCUUAUCUUCCCCAAGAGUCCACAUCGACGGGGAGGUUUGGCACCUCGAUGUCGGCUCAUCACAUCCUGGGGCUGUAGUAGGUCCCAAGGGUUGGGCUGUUCGCCCAUUAAAGUGGUACGCGAGCUGGGUUCAGAA